GACGAACGCUGGCGGCGUGCUUAACACAUGCAAGUCGAACGGAAAGGCCCUGCUUGCAGGGUACUCGAGUGGCGAACGGGUGAGUAACACGUGGGUGAUCUGCCCUGCACUUCGGGAUAAGCCUGGGAAACUGGGUCUAAUACCGGAUAGGAGCCAUUUUUAGUGUGAUGGUUGGAAAGUUUUUUCGGUGUAGGAUGAGCUCGCGGCCUAUCAGCUUGUUGGUGGGGUAAUGGCCUACCAAGGCGGCGACGGGUAGCCGGCCUGGGCGGGUGGACGGCCACAUUGGGACUGAGAUACGGCCCAGACUCCUACGGGAGGCAGCAGUGGGGAAUAUUGCACAAUGGGCGCAAGCCUGAUGCAGCGACGCCGCGUCGGGGAUGACGGCCUUCGGGUUGUAAACUCCUUUCGCUAGGGACGAAGCUUUUUGUGACGGUACCUAGAUAAGAAGCACCGGCUAACUACGUG
rnacentral:rRNA from 1 species